rnacentral:rRNA from 1 species
GACGAACGCUGGCGGCGUGCUUCACACAUGCAAGUCGAACGGUAAGGCCCUUCGGGGUACACGAGUGGCGAACGGGUGAGUAACACGUGGGUGAUCUGCCCUGCACUUCGGGAUAAGCCUGGGAAACUGGGUCUAAUACCGGAUAGGAUCACUGCCUGCAUGGGUGGUGGUGGAAGGCUUUUGCGGUGAUGGAUGGGCCCGCGGCCUAUCAGCUUGUUGGUGGGGUGAUGGCCUACCAAGGCGACGACGGGUCGCCGGCCUGAGAGGGUGACCGGCCAAACUGGGACUGGAAUACGACCCAGACUCCUACGGGAGGCAGCAGUGUGGAAUAUUACACAAUGGGCGCAAGCCUUAUGCCGCGAAGCCGCGUGAGGGAUGACGGCCUUCGGGUUGUAAACCUCUUUCAGCACCGACGAAGCGCAAGUGACGGUAGGUGCAGAAGAAGGACCGGCCAACUACGUGCCAGCCGGCGCAGUAA